rnacentral:sRNA from 1 species
GUGUAAAUCGGGAGACAAUGCAGGGAGGUGGAUGGAGGCCUGGGCUCUGGAGCCAGACUCCUGGCUGUGUGACAUUGAGCUAGUCAGUUAGCCUCUCUGGGCCUCACAGCCCCAAAACAGCUGUGCCCACCUGAGGGUUGUGGUGAGGGUUCUGAAGAAGAUUGUGGCUGCCACACUGCAGAGCUGGAAGCUGUUGUGGGGGCCCAGGGCCUGGUGGUGUGGGCAGGAAUGCCCCACCCAUGUGCUCUGGGGCUGUGGACCCAGCAGCUUCCAUCACUGCCCACAGAGCGUGACUAUCACAGCCUGUGCGAGCGGCAGCCCAUUGGGCGCCUGCUGUUCCGAGAGUUCUGUGCCACGAGGCCGGAGCUGAGCCGCUGCAUCGCCUUCCUGGAUGGGGUGGCCGAGUAUGAAGUGACCCCGGAUGAGAAGCGGAAGGCAUGUGGGCGGCGGCUAAUGCAGAAUUUUCUGAGCCACACGGGUCCUGACCUCAUCCCUGAGGUCCCCCGGCAGCUGGUGACGAACUGCACCCAGCGGCUGGAGCAGGGUCCCUGCAAAGACCUUUUCCAGGAACUCACCCGGCUGACCCACGAGUACCUGAGCGUGGCCCCUUUUGCCGACUACCUCGACAGCAUCUACUUCAACCGUUUCCUGCAGUGGAAGUGGCUGGAAAGGCAGCCAGUGACCAAAAACACCUUCAGGCAGUACCGAGUCCUGGGCAAAGGUGGCUUUGGGGAGGUGUGCGCCUGCCAGGUGCGGGCCACAGGUAAGAUGUAUGCCUGCAAGAAGCUAGAGAAAAAGCGGAUCAAGAAGCGGAAAGGGGAGGCCAUGGCGCUGAACGAGAAGCAGAUCCUGGAGAAAGUGAACAGUAGGUUUGUAGUGAGCUUGGCCUACGCCUAUGAGACCAAGGACGCGCUGUGCCUGGUGCUGACACUGAUGAACGGGGGCGACCUCAAGUUCCACAUCUACCACAUGGGCCAGGCUGGCUUCCCCGAAGCGCGGGCCGUCUUCUACGCCGCCGAGAUCUGCUGUGGCCUGGAGGACCUGCACCGGGAGCGCAUCGUGUACAGGGACCUGAAGCCAGAGAACAUCUUGCUGGAUGACCACGGCCACAUCCGCAUCUCUGACCUGGGACUAGCUGUGCACGUGCCCGAGGGCCAGACCAUCAAAGGCCGUGUGGGCACCGUGGGUUACAUGGCUCCGGAGGUGGUGAAGAAUGAACGGUACACGUUCAGCCCUGACUGGUGGGCGCUCGGCUGCCUCCUGUACGAGAUGAUCGCAGGCCAGUCGCCCUUCCAGCAGAGGAAGAAGAAGAUCAAGCGGGAGGAGGUGGAGCGGCUGGUGAAGGAGGUCCCCGAGGAGUAUUCCGAGCGCUUUUCCCCGCAGGCCCGCUCACUUUGCUCACAGCUCCUCUGCAAGGACCCUGCCGAACGCCUGGGGUGUCGUGGGGGCAGUGCCCGUGAGGUGAAGGAGCACCCCCUCUUUAAGAAGCUGAACUUCAAGCGGCUGGGAGCUGGCAUGCUGGAGCCGCCCUUCAAGCCUGACCCCCAGGCCAUUUACUGCAAGGAUGUUCUGGACAUUGAACAGUUCUCUACGGUCAAGGGCGUGGAGCUGGAGCCUACUGACCAGGACUUCUACCAGAAGUUUGCCACAGGCAGUGUGCCCAUCCCCUGGCAGAACGAGGUGGGGGCCUGCCCUGCUGGUGGGGGGGCUCCAGGAGGCUGCCCUGGGGACAGCUGUCAUAGCUGCCUCCUCCUCAGCAGAUGGUGGAGACCGAGUGCUUCCAGGAGCUGAAUGUCUUUGGGCUGGAUGGCUCAGUUCCCCCAGACCUGGACUGGAAGGGCCAGCCACCUGCACCUCCUAAAAAGGGACUGCUGCAGAGACUCUUCAGCCGCCAAGAUUGCUGUGGAAACUGCAGCGACAGCGAGGAAGAGCUCCCCACCCGCCUCUAGCCCCCAGCCCGAGGCCCCCACCAGCAGUUGGCGGUAGCAGCUACUCCGAGCGCCGUUUACGGUUUUGCACAGUGAUCUUCCCCAUUGUCCACUCAAGUCGUGGCCUGGGGAACACAGACGGAGCUGUCCCCAGUGUCCUCUGUCCCUCAGGCCCUGGCCUGACUGAGUUUGGCAGGGCCUGGGCCGUCCCUGGGACAAAGGUGCGUCCCUUCAGCUCUUCUCUGUGGAGCUCGGGGCUUUCUGUAUUUAUGUAUUUGUACGAAUGUAUAUAGCG